rnacentral:rRNA from 1 species
UAGGGAAUCUUCGGCAAUGGGGGCAACCCUGACCGAGCAACGCCGCGUGAGUGAAGAAGGUUUUCGGAUCGUAAAGCUCUGUUGUAAGAGAAGAACGUGUGUGAGAGUGGAAAGUUCACACAGUGACGGUAACUUACCAGAAAGGGACGGCUAACUACGUGCCAGCAGCCGCGGUAAUACGUAGGUCCCGAGCGUUGUCCGGAUUUAUUGGGCGUAAAGCGAGCGCAGGCGGUUUAAUAAGUCUGAAGUUAAAGGCAGUGGCUUAACCAUUGUUAGCUUUGGAAACUGUUAAACUUGAGUGCAGAAGGGGAGAGUGGAAUUCCAUGUGUAGCGGUGAAAUGCGUAGAUAUAUGGAGGAACACCGGUGGCGAAAGCGGCUCUCUGGUCUGUACCUGACGCUGAGGCUCGAAAGCGUGGGGAGCAAACAGG